GGGUGGUUCAACUUCAAGUUAAAACAUUUUUUGAUUUCUUAUUGGUGGCUUUUAGGGGAUUUACUUUUGGCAUUACUUGAAGACAUAUGAGGACAUCUUCCGUUAGUUCUAAAAUAGGGUUUAGGUAGAGUUAUUGUAUGUAUUGCAAACAAUUAUUGUAUGGAAGGAGUUUGAAUUGGAUACUUGUUUUAUUUUUUACUUGUGGAAUGUAUGGAUCUUUUUUUAUAAA